AUUGAACGCUGGCGGUAGGCCUAACACAUGCAAGUCGAACGGCAGCACAGUAAUAGCUUGCUCUUACGGGUGGCGAGUGGCGGACGGGUGAGGGGUACAUCGGAAUCUGCUUUUUCUUGGGGGAUGACGUAGGGAAACUUACGCUAAUACCGCAUACGGCCUACGGGUGAAAGCAUGGGAUCUUCCGACCUUGCGCGAUUCGAUGAGCCGAUGUCGGAUUAGCUAGUUGGCGGGGUAAAGGCCCACCAAGGCGACGAUCCGUAGCUGGUCUGAGAGGAUGAUCAGCCACACUGGAACUGAGACACGGUCCAGACUCCUACGGGAGGCAGCAGUGGGGAAUAUUGGACAAUGGGCGCAAGCCUGAUCCAGCCAUACCGCGUGGGUGAAGAAGGCCUUCGGGUUGUAAAGCCCUUUUGUUGGGAAAGAAAAGCAGCAGGUUAAUACCCCGCUGUUCUGACGGUACCCAAAGAAUAAGCACCGGCUAACUUCGUG
rnacentral:rRNA from 1 species